GUAACUUUAACGUAGUACGUGGAGUACGGUAGUUGGUCUACUUGUGUUUUGUAAACAUUAGGUACCUUUGUACUUUAACCUUAUAGACACAAAGUUUGCAUCACAUUCAUAAUAUUUUUCGUACGUGCCAUGACUGUCUGUUGUUUCAAUUAGUAAACUGUGCAUUUUCUGGAUAGGUAUUUCGUUAUAGUAUUAGAGAAUAUUUCCUACUGUUAGUUCAAUCAAGUCCUCGAGAUUCUGAUCCAGUAUAAAAAUCAAAUACCAAUAGUAUCGAUCAGCAAUCGCUCAAAAAUGGCAAUCAUCGAUUCAGUACGAUGUAGUUUGGGAGCCAUCUUAGCAUCUACCAAUUCAGUACUAUUAAGAUAUAUGAAUUACAACCACCUCUUGGAAAUUCCAUAUAGAACCACCCGCAAGAAUACGAGUAUAAAUUCAGUUGACGGAAUCGGAAUAGAACAAACAAUAAUUAUAGAAGACGGCCAUAUAUCGUACGUACUUGUACUGCUUAUAUGUGUAUUGUUCGGAGCUGUACUAGGCCUAGCAUUGCGAUACUUCUUCUACGUUGCAGUGUUCAUAUUCGUACUGGUCCCAGCAUUGCGAUUCUACGUCGACCUUUUUUACAAGUUUUACAACAGACCCGUACGCGUACGAGUGUUGUGUGAAUAUAGUGCCAGUGGGUGUCUAAGCAUUGUUUUUCUUAUGCAAAAGUUGUCCCGGUGAACCCGGUUCACCGGCACAACAAAAGAAAAAAAAAACCCUUCGAGUACGAAAUAUCACCAUCGGCCUCUCGAUCCUCAUCGUUGUUUUUAGCUUAAGAUUUCGUUUUCCCUCAUUUUUGCCAUUUUUUCUUGUGUAUGUUUUGUCUUUUCUAGACACAACCUCUGUGUGAUACAAAUAAAAACUAUGAAACGUUAA